GACGUCGAUAUUCGACGUCAUAAACACGAUCAACUUUGGUGUUCAUGAUGUCGAUAUUCGACGUCAUAAACACGAUCAACUUUGGUGUUGAUGACGUCGAUAUUCGACGUCAUAAAAACGAUUAACUUUGGUUUUAAUGACGUCCGUUUUCGACGCCAUAAACACGAUCAACUUUGGUGUGUAUGACGUCGAUAUUCGACGUC
rnacentral:miRNA from 1 species